rnacentral:rRNA from 1 species
GACGAACGCUGGCGGCGUGCUUAACACAUGCAAGUCGAACGGUAAGGCCCUUCGGGGUACACGAGUGGCGAACGGGUGAGUAACACGUGGGUGAUCUGCCCUGCACUUCGGGAUAAGCCUGGGAAACUGGGUCUAAUACCGGAUAGGACCACUGCCUGCAUGGGUGGUGGUGGAAAGCUUUUGCGGUGUGGGAUGGGCCCGCGGCCUAUCAGCUUGUUGGGGGGGUGAUGGCCUACCAAGGCGACGACGGGUAGCCGGCCUGAGAGGGUGACCGGCCACAUUGGGACUGGGAUACGGCCCAGACUCCUACGGGAGGCAGCAGUGGGGAAUAUUGCACAAUGGGCGCAAGCCUGAUGCAGCGACGCCGCGUGAGGGAUGACGGCCUUCGGGUUGUAAACCUCUUUCAGCACCGACGAAGCGCAAGUGACGGUAGGUGCAGAAGAAGGACCGGCCAACUACGUGCCAGCAGCCGCAGUAA